GCCGUAUUCCUCCCCAGGUUCAAGCCCUUCACAUCCGCCUUCAUCCAUGUAACUUGUUUUCGCGUCUCUGCUGAGUACGGGGGAUUUUCUACAUGGAUUUAAUCUGGCAAUAAUGUUUAGCAACGGAGCAAAAUCAAAGACUGGGGAAAUCUGCUGAUAAUGUCGUAGAAUGAUGCAAGACUGAACCUAUGUAAUAAUAGACUAGAGCCAUGACAUUUAUUAUCGAUGUGCACCUUACUGUAUUUAAGCAUUUUUCAAUGUCA